CCUACGGGCGGCAGCAGUGGGGAAUAUUGGACAAUGGGCGAAAGCCUGAUCCAGCCAUGCCGCGUGUGUGAAGAAGGCCUUCGGGUUGUAAAGCACUUUCAGUGGGGAAGAAAGCCUUGGGGCUAAUACCCUCGAGGAAGGACAUCACCCACAGAAGAAGCACCGGCUAACUCCGUGCCAGCAGCCGCGGUAAUACGGAGGGUGCGAGCGUUAAUCGGAAUUACUGGGCGUAAAGCGCGCGUAGGCGGUCUGAUAAGCCGGUUGUGAAAGCCCCGGGCUCAACCUGGGAACGGCAUCCGGAACUGUCAGGCUAGAGUGCAGGAGAGGAAGGUAGAAUUCCCGGUGUAGCGGUGAAAUGCGUAGAGAUCGGGAGGAAUACCAGUGGCGAAGGCAGUCUUCUGGACUGACACUGACGCUGAGGUGCGAAAGCGUGGGUAGCAAACAGGAUUAGAUACCCGUGUAGUC
rnacentral:rRNA from 1 species